GUACUGAGACACGGACCAGACUCCUACGGGAGGCAGCAGUGAGGAAUAUUGGACAAUGGGAGCAAUCCUGAUCCAGCCAUGCCGCGUGCAGGAAGACUGCCCUAUGGGUUGUAAACUGCUUUUAUACAGGAAGAAAAAGGUGUACGUGUACACUGUUGACGGUACUGUAAGAAUAAGGAUCGGCUAACUCCGUGCCAGCAGCCGCGGUAAUACGGAGGAUCCAAGCGUUAUCCGGAAUCAUUGGGUUUAAAGGGUCCGUAGGCGGGAUAAUAAGUCAGUGGUGAAAGUCUGCAGCUCAACUGUAGAAUUGCCAUUGAUACUGUUGUUCUUGAGUUAUUGUGAAGUGGUUAGAAUGAGUAGUGUAGCGGUGAAAUGCAUAGAUAUUACUCAGAAUACUGAUUGCGAAGGCAGAUCACUAACAAUACACUGACGCUGAUGGACGAAAGCGUAGGUAGCGAACAGGAUUAGAUACCCUGGUAGUCUACGCCGUAAACGAUGGUUACUAGCUGUUCGGGUUAAUUGAGACCUGAGUGGCUAAGCGAAAGUGAUAAGUAACCCACCUGGGGAGUACGUUCGCAAGAAUGAAACUCAAAGGAAUUGACGG
rnacentral:rRNA from 1 species